CGAACUGUAGCUCAAUGGUGAGAGCGUCCGUCUUAUAAGCGGAUGGUUGCGGGUUCAAGUCCCGCCAGUUCGACCA
rnacentral:tRNA from 1 species